UACGGAGGAUGCAAGCGUUAUCCGGAAUGAUUGGGCGUAAAGCGUCCGCAGGUGGCUGUGUAAGUCUGCUGUCAAAGAGCAAAGCUCAACUUUGUAAAGGCAGUGGAAACUACACGGCUAGAGUGCGUUCGGGGCAGAGGGAAUUCCUGGUGUAGCGGUGAAAUGCGUAGAUAUCUGGAGGAACACCGGUGGCGAAGGCGGCAUUCUGGACCGAUAUUGACGCUGAGGAGCGAAAGCCAGGGGAGCAAACGGG
rnacentral:rRNA from 1 species